AGCAGCCGCGGUAAUUCCAGCUCCAAUAGCGUAUAUUAAAGUUGUUGCAGUUAAAAAGCUCGUAGUUGAAUUUCGGGAUCAAUAUAUCGGUCGUGCCUUGGUACGUACUGGUAUCAUUGGUUUCUCCUUUCUGACGAACCAUGAUGUCAUUAAUUUGGUGUUUUGGGGAAUUUGGACUGUUACUUUGAAAAAAUUAGAGUGUUUAAAGCAAGCUAACGCUUGAAUGCAUUAGCAUGGAAUAAUGAAAUAGGACGUUUGAUUCUAUUUUGUUGGUUUCUAGGAUCGACGUAAUGAUUAAUAGGGAUAGUUGGGGGCAUUAGUAUUCAAUUGUCAGAGGUGAAAUUCUUGGAUUUAUUGAAGACUAACUACUGCGAAAGCAUUUGCCAAGGAUGUUUUCAUUAAUCAAGAACGAAAGUUAGGGGAUCGAAGACGAUCAGAUACCGUCGUAGUCUUAACCAUAAACUAUGCCGACUAGGGAUCGGAUGAUGUUAAUUUUUUAAUGACUCAUUCGGCGCCUUAC
rnacentral:misc_RNA from 1 species